rnacentral:rRNA from 1 species
UUGACCUCAAAUCAGGUAGGACUACCCGCUGAACUUAAGCAUAUCAAUAAGCGGAGGAAAAGAAACUAACAAGGAUUCCCCUAGUAACUGCGAGUGAAGCGGGAAAAGCUCAAAUUUAAAAUCUGGCGGUCUUUGGCCGUCCGAGUUGUAAUCUAGAGAAGUGUUACCCGCGUCGGACCGUGUACAAGUCUCCUGGAAUGGAGCGUCAUAGAGGGUGAGAAUCCCGUCUUUGACACGGACUACCGAGGCUUUGUGGUGCGCUCUCAAAGAGUCGAGUUGUUUGGGAAUGCAGCUCAAAAUGGGUGGUAAAUUCCAUCUAAAGCUAAAUAUUGGCGAGAGACCGAUAGCGAACAAGUACCGUGAGGGAAAGAUGAAAAGAACUUUGGAAAGAGAGUUAAACAGUACGUGAAAUUGCUGAAAGGGAAACGCUUGAAGUCAGUCGCGUCCUCCGGGAAUCAGCCUUCCUUCUGGUUGGUGUACUUCCUGGUGGACGGGCCAGCAUCAGUUUUGACCGGUGGAAAAAGUUGGAGGGAAUGUGGCACCUUCGGGUGUGUUAUAGCCCUCUUUCGUAUACAUCGAUUGGGACUGAGGAACUCAGCACGCCGCAAGGCCGGGAUUCGUCCACGUUCGUGCUUAGGAUGCUGGCAUAAUGGCUUUAAUCGACCCGUC